GGAUUCCCCUAGUAACGGCGAGUGAAGAGGGAAGAGCCCAGCACCGAAGCCUGCGGUAGCUUUACUGUUAGGCAAUGUGGUGUUUGGGUCGGCUCGCGGGAUUGCCACUCCACUCGAAGUCCAGCAUUGAGUAUGGUACACUGGAUUUGGCCCAGAGAGGGUGAAAGGCCCGUACGGGUGGAGGUUUCAGACAAGUGAGGCAAUUCACUAGGCCGGCCUUAGAGUCGGGUUGUUUGGGAAUGCAGCCCAAAGUGGGUGGUAAACUCCAUCCAAGGCUAAAUACUAGCACGAGUCCGAUAGCAAACAAGUACCGUGAGGGAAAGUUGAAAAGUACUUUGAAGAGAGAGUAAACAGUACGUGAAACCGCAUGCAGGUAAACGGGUGGCGUCAAGCUGUACGCCCGGAGGAUUCAGCCGGCUAGAGUGUAGUCAUGCGCCUGCGCAUCGAAAGGCCAGUAUAAGAAUGGGUAGUCCACUGGUAGACAGUGGGCCCUGCCGCAAGGUGGGGAUGUGUGUACCGGGUGGAAGCCGGAGCACGCUAUCCGUCUGUUGGGCCGUCUAGCCGGUGCACUUUCUCCGUGGUGGACACCACGACCGGUGGUACCUCCAGUCUGCUAUGGCCAAGUCGUAUCCGGUUGGUCCUUGUGGCCUACCGGGUGCGAUCUCAGGCAAACUCGGUGAACGGCGUAGAUGUGCCCCCGCGGGUGCGUCUGCGUGUUAUCGGUAACCGGUUGCCGUGCCGUACCCCCCCGCUAGUUGGGUUAGCCGCUGCGGGGGGACCGGUGGGCCGUAGUGGUAUGAAUAACUGUGUUGGGCACCGGAGUUCUCGGCCUCAAAGCAUCCGGCAUCUAUGCUAAUUCAUAGUUAGCUUGGGUGCAGUCGUGCAGACUGCUUGAUGGCGGGUCUGAGUGUCGUGUUGCCCACGAAAAGUGGGUUCGGCAUUGGCUCGCCACAUGACGGGACUGCAUAGACUGCCCCCAGUGCUGGGUGUAGUAGGCCUCAUAGUCUGUGGUGUAGUGGUAGACGAGCUACCCGACCCGUCUUGAAACACGGACCAAGGAGUUUAACACGUGUGCAAGUCACUGGGUCCUACGAAACCCAAAGGCGCAAUGAAAGUAAAGCUUCGGAUCAUUCGUGGUUCGGAGUGAGGUGAGAUCCCGCCGUGACUCCGCCAGCCUAUUCAGUCAGAAGCAGGCAUACCGCGCGGUGGGCGCAUCACCGGCCCGUCCCAUGAUGUGGUCAUUGGAACAGGCUGCGGUCGGCCUCGGUCGGCUGUAGUACUCCCAGUGCGUCAUCGGGGCGGAGCAUGAGCAUACGUGUUGAGACCCGAAAGAUGGUGAACUAUGCUUGCGUAGGUUGAAGCCAGAGGAAACUCUGGUGGAGGACCGCAGCGAUUCUGACGUGCAAAUCGAUCGUCAAACGUGAGUAUAGGGGCGAAAGACUAAUC
rnacentral:rRNA from 1 species